rfam:Zootermopsis nevadensis contig18740, whole genome shotgun sequence.
ACCACGGUGGUCUAGCGGUCAGAACACUAGCCUUGUAAGCCUGGGGUCCUGGGUUCAAUUCCUGGUGGUGCUC